rnacentral:lncRNA from 1 species
GGUAGUUGGGGCGUGCGUCGCGUAGCCGGCCCUGCGAAUAUGGCGUCAGCUUCGGCUUCCGGUCUGAGGGCGCCGAGAGCCCAGCCAAACUCUGCGGACGGCCAUUCCUGGGAUGUGACCACAUAACGGUCAGGCAAGAAGAUGACUGAAUUUAUCUUCUUGGAAUCAUUGCUUCAUAAUUGUUGCUUCCCACCAUUGGCAUUGGAGAAAGGCUGGGCCACAGGAGGCCAGAUGAACUUUGUGUUGGCCAGCGUUUCAUGCCCCAGUGACCCAAGACAGGGUGAGGCGAAGGGGAAGGUUCGGCGGCGCGUGUCCCACAGGUUCAGGGGAGUGCCGGUGCGCCCGGUAGAGGUGGCCCUGCGCGCUUGCCGGACACCGCUUCCGGGACGCGCCCGGGGCUACCCCGCGGCAGAGGUGUGUGCGGCUCCGCGCAGGCUCGCUGAGGAGCUCGGCUUCGCAGACGGAGCAGGCGGACUCGCCGGGAUCCCAGCGCGCUGAAGCAGCCCGCCUCCCCUCGCCCUGCCCUGGCCAGUGCAUCCAGGAUCCGGAGCAGCCAGGGGCCUGGCCACUCCCACCCAGAGCCCUGCCUUGGCUGAGCUGGUUACUGCUGCGUCUCCCGGGCUGCUGGCAUGCCGGUUAUCAGCAGUGCACAGGUGUCUCUGGCUGUGCCCUGGGGCGUGCUCACGUCCCGAUCUCCUGGGAGGCUGGCCCCUCUGCCCCAGUGGCCGCCUUCCUGGAGGAGACUGGCCUGUUCCCACCUCUCCUGACUCCCAGAGCGGUGGCUGGUGUGGGAAGUCCUGCUUCCUCCCCUUGGUGUCUGCCCUUGUCCAUGGGCUGUUUUCUCCCAGUGCUGAUGUCUCCCCAGCUAGAAGAGGAGACCCUCAAAGGCGCACAGAGCUUCGCGGUGUUCCUGAUUCACACCGAGAGGAAGAAGGGAGUCCAGUCAUCUGCAGUGCUGUUUGGGUACUGGCUUCUCUGCUUUGUGUUGCCAGCUGCCAGCGCCGCCCAGCAGGCCUCUGGAGGGGGCUUCCAGAGUGACCCAGUGUGCCACCUGUCCACCUAUCUGUGCUUGUCUCUAGUGGUGGCACAGUUUGUGCUGUCCUGCCUUGCGGAUCAACCUUCCUUCUAACCUAAAGACCGUCAGCAGUCUGAAAGUCACCAAGUUCCAACCUCAUUCCUGUUCCACUUUGAGGUCUUAGUCUCCCUCAUGUGACCUAAAGUCUAAUUUUUUAUUCAUUUAUCCACUCAGCAAACUGUGAAUUGCAUUUUUACUCGAUGCCACCAUUGGUAGACUUUUUCUGUAUGGGGCAAGAGACUCUGUGAGCCAUACAGUGAUCUCUGCGGCAACUCCUCAACUCUGCCACUGAAGACAAAAGCAGAAUAUGUCAACAAAUUGCAUGGCUGUGUUGCAAUAAAACUUUAUUUGCAGCAACAGGCAGUGGGCCAGAUUUGGUCAUAGUUUGCAGACCCCGCUCUAUCCCCCAGCAAAGGCUUAAGAAUCUAUGGUGAACAAGCAGAGUUCCUGCUCUCAUGUAGCUAGUGGUCAAGUACGGGAACCAGAAAUUACUCACAUAAUUAAAUAUGUUGAAAAUUGGCUGGGCACGGUGGCUCAUGCCUGUAAUCCCAACACUUUGGAGGUCAAGGCAAGUGGAUCACCUGAGGUCGAGAGUUCAGGACCAGCCUGGCCAGCAUGGUAAAACCAGUCUACUAAAAUUACAAAAGUUAGUCGGGCAUGAUAGCACACGCCUGUAAUCCCAGCUUCUUGGGAGGCUGAGGCAGGUGAAUCCUAGAGGUGGAGGUGGAGUGAGCUGAGAUUGCACCAUUGCACUCUAGCCUGGGUGACAAAGAGCAAAAUUCCAUCUCAAAAAAAAAAAAAAAAAAAAAAAAAGAAAGAAAAGAAAAUUACCCCUGGGGUAAGUGCUCUGUAGGAGAAGUUCAUGAGAGUUUUACAACAGGUAACACUGAAGCAAUCUGUGAAAUCAAGAAAUAAUUCUUUUGAGAAAGAGACUGAUCUGACAUCAGAUAAACAGAUGUUCAGAUGGACCGGGUGCAGUGAGCAUGCCUCUAAUCUCGGCACUUUGGGAGGCCGCGGAAGGAGGCUGCUUGAGCCCAGGUUCUAGAUCAGACUAGGCAAUGUAGCGAGACUCCACCUCUACAAAAAGUUUAAAAAAAAU